CGGAAACCCAUAUUAUGUCCAAACAUUGAAUCACCAUUUAGUUGUAGCUAGCAAUCUUUGAAUUAAUUGAAAUCAAGACUAUGUCAAAGAUGGUUUCUUCCAAGUCAACCAUUCUCUUUGAUUGUGGUCACCUUAAGCUACCAAUUAGCUAUGAAGGUUUCAUUAUUUCGAGUCAAAUGGUACUUUACCAUUUCCUUGAGUAUAUGUCGUAUAUACACUCAAUGUAGUCAUAAGGAUUUUCAUUCUUAUUUCUUUCAAAUUAAGAGGUGUAACUCUAUGACAUAGUCAUAAAGUUCAAAAACAUUCAACUGAGACAGUUUAUAAAUCCUUCUCGAUUGCCUUGGAGCUUGUGGUGUAGGAACUAGGUUGUUAUAUUUGUUGAUUAUCAUCUUGUCUCUCAAAGAACCCAUUCUUUGAGUUCUAUCUCUCGUUCAUUUGCGCUUAGGCAAAUCAUAUUGUAGGAUUACAAUGAACUAUCCAACAAAACAACAUUUGUUAGUUGGUUUAUAGAAGUGAUAUCCAAAGGUUAAUUAAAGGAUAUCCACAAGAUAAUUCUCAAAAAAAUAUUGCUUAUUAGCACACAACCCCAAAUCUUAACACAAUUAAGACUUAUCUUUCUUUCCAACUACAUCUUAUGGAGUCAUGAAAAUUUUGGAAGAUCUUCUAAUUGACAAUCAUAUUGUCUUAGAAGUAUAUAUCCUAUAUAUGGAUAAUUGAUAACAUCCAACAAACUAAAUCUUAUUCAAGUUCGUUCUUCUCCUAAUGGAGAAAUCCAUUAUCUUAUGGUGCUUCUUUCCUUGAUAUCUUUCAAGGAAACUAUUCCAAAGUGUUACCUUUCCUUGGAUCAAAUCUAAGGAGGUAAACACUUUAGAUGUCUUACUCAUCAACUUACAUUCUUGAAUUCUUUGAAACCUUUUGCAAAGUAUUCGGACUUGUGUUUAUUCAAAAUAAACGAUAAUCCAACCGAGAGCGAUCUUCGGUGAAUGUCAUACAACAUGAGUAGUAUUAUGUUGUGGAGAAGUGCCACUAACAUCUAAGUGAAUUAACCUCAACAACUUUGUGAUUUUUUCUUCCUUUCCAAAAGAAUAAAGAUUCAAACAUUUUGCCUCUAUACAAUUUUAACAAGAAGGCAUUGGAUCCGGAUCUAACGAUCCAAAGCAUCCAUCUAUGACUAACUCGUAAUUUAUGUUUUAGAUGUAUCACAACUCAGUUGGGAUUAGUCACUACCUUGCAACCUUUUGGGUUUUAAGCAUCGUUAUAUUCUAAACAGUUAACACUACCAUAUCAUAUCUACUAUAGAGAUAAUCAAUUAGAUUACAAUGAUCUAAUCAUUCAUUAAUAAAGAACAAAGUUUUGUCAAACAAAACAUUCAUCCAUUUCUCAUACGGAAUUAUGUUCCUUUAUUCAAAUUGGAAUGUAAAGACAAUCUUUGUUUUUUCCAUUUUCUUUGGUAGUUCACAUGAGGAAGUAAGUACUACCUGCUUUCGCAGAGAUCUACAUUUGAUUCACAUUCCGAAUGUGAAGUACUUUCUCUUCUCUCAUUAAUCUUCUACUUCUUAUUAGCCACACUUUUACAACGAUUGUAAAACAUAGUUACUAAUACGGAAUCAAGCAUUCAAGUAGAAGAACCAACUGUUUUGAAUUAUUCAAGAACAAUUUACAACACCUUCGAAAGGUGUGUUCUUGACACUUGCAAGACAUUUCUUGCAAAUACCCCUUCCAAUGUCCAUCCUUUCAUAAAGAAAGUUUGUUCCGUUGGAGUUAUUUCUCCUUCUUCAUUUGACUUCUCCUUUGACUACAAUAGUCAUGGUCCCUAUCCCACUAUCUCUCUUGAAACUUAUUUCAAUUGUGUUAUAUACAUCAAACAAUUUGGAGAGCGUGUGGUUAUUGUUCACUAUAUAGUUUACAAUAAACUUAGUGAACCAUUUGGAUAGGGACACAAAAGUGAAGUCCUUCCCUAGUUUCCAUCUCUAGAAGUGGUUUAACACUUCAACACUUCAACACUCAAUGAUUCAAAAUCAUCAUAAGUCCAUGUUGAUGGACUAUUUUUGUCAACCAACCAUUAUGUUCUAAACAAAAUUACAAACAUUCAAGAGUUGUUCAAGGCAACUCUCAUUUCUUCAUA
rnacentral:lncRNA from 1 species